GGUCAUGUGGCCUAGUGGUCAUAGCAUCUGCCCGGUAAGCGGAAGGUCGUGGGUUCGAUUCCCAUCCCUUGACACU
rnacentral:tRNA from 1 species